GGGGAAGGAUGGGCAUGUAGGGAGCUAAAAUUUUCCAACUUUCUGCUUUCUCCUGAACCCCCAUUGGAGUUAAUGCAUUUCGAUUUCUAAUGAGGGCUGAUACUAGCAAGCAGUAAAAGGAAUUAACAAAGUGAAGUCAGGAGACAGCUGCAGCAUAAACAUCAAGUAGCCAAACUGCUGACAGCUCCCUGCCACCAGUAACAUUGAAGUGAAAAAAAUAGCGAGGAUCCGUUAUUGUUGCUUGUAUCGGACUUCUUAUUUGACCUGAACAAAAGCAAGUGUGUUAUGGUUAAGUGCUGUUCCUGUUUACAAUUUUCAUUUUGCAAUUUCAUCUUCGGAUUGCUUCAACUCUGUUUUGCCUGUAGUCUGAGAAAAAUAAUCAAGGGGCAACUGAUAGUGGAAUGUAACGUUGUCCUUCUCAGUCAUUCACAUGUGCUGCUACUGCGUGCUGCACGUUCAAGGGGGUAUGCGAGUUAAAAACUAUGAGAUGUUGUGUUCAUGUCUGUGAAUUGUGAGCUGCAAAAUAAUUCUGCAACCGUGCAUUGGCAUGUCUGAGGGCUUGCAAAAUGAAAGACUGAGCAUAUUGCAAAAUAGUUUCCAGUUUUGCUUUUCAAACAGGAAUUCAGCCUUCCUUCUUCCCUGAGUAACUUGAUGCAGGGCAAUGAAUUGAAGUGUUGUUUGCAUACUUUCCCUGUAAAAUAUUGGUAUGCUUUCAUCUCCAUGGUUAAAACUCUCGGUCUCCCUCCUGCACCCUGUGAGAAUUACUUAAUACCUUUACAAGGAAGACAACUUUCUCAAUAAGCUGUGAUAAAACUAGGAAGCUUAUUAGAAAAGAGCUGUUGUAAAAGAGAACGUACUAUUUAAGGGUUUCCAGUGGUGGUUACUUGUGUGUCUACUUGAGCAGCCCGUGUGAUUAAAUUUAGUGUAUUACUGUCAGAUGAGUAAAUAUCCCUGUUCUGCAGAUGUGGAACUGAGAGACCUGCCUGACAUUAUGUAAGCGAGUGACAGCUGGGGUCAGAGCUCUGUGUUAUUUCUGAUCCAGACUACUGCCCUAACCACAGGAUCACAAUUUCCCUUUUCAGUUCUUUUCAGAUUUUCUACAUAAUUCCUCGCUAAGGUUUUUCAGACAGUGGAUAGCGUAUAUUAUAAUAAAGGAGAUAAGAAUCACUUGCCUCUUACUUUGUGGUUAUAUUGAAGCUACUACGUACAGGCAAAAAGCUGUGAACGCAAAAAAUAGCAAUUGGGAAAUCUUACUCAUCUCACGAUGUGUUUCUGAUCGCAUAAGCCAUGCAGGGAACAGAACGUAGCCAGUGUUUCAGCUGGAGAUGUCUCAGAAUAAUGAUACAUAAAAUUAGUUCAGACUGAAAAAUGAUUCCUUCCAAGACAGCCCAAGCAUGAAGGUAUCGGCUUUCUGUUAAGCCUUAGAUAUCAUUAAUAGUCCAAAGGUCUUAUGACACUUAAAAUGAAAACCUGCAUCCUUUUUGAAGGCUGGUUUGGUAACUGCGCUCUGAUUCUUAUGUAACCUCUGUAAUUUCAGCAGGUUUUAAGGUAUCCUGCACCUCCCUUUCACAGAGCAGUUUCUGGAGGGUGCUAAAAGAAAACGCAUCGCAUGUCAACAGAGAGGUUGAAUUUGAUGUUAGCUGCACGAUGACCUCGUUCCCAGGGGCCAGAAGGAGAACCAGUGCAUUGAGAAAUGAGAGCGUCAAGGAAGCAUGUUACCUAACUGUCCAUGCUAGUUGCGGGUUUGUAAUGGAACAUGAUUCAUCAGCCAUCACCAAGGAAACCAGGGAGUGUGUCAGAAUAUACUAGUUUAUGAAGAGUUAGAGUUGUUAUAGAAUCAUAGAAUGGUUUGGGUUGGAAGGGACCUUAAAGAUCAUCUAGUUCCAACAAAUCAUAUAUUUGGUAAUUUGGAGUUGUUAAUUCAUAGGAAAAUUCCUGCUUGGCCUGAGAUGUUGUCUUGUGUUCUGUGAAAAUUUAAGCUUUUUUGUUACUCCCAGAAAACAACCGGAUUAUUAUAUAGUGUCUCAUGGAUUUUAAUUAACUCAUUUUAGGCAUAUAUUUUCAUUGAUUACAGUAAUCCAUCCACUCUGCCUACUGUUUAAAAAAAAUACAGAAAUAAUGUUAGAUUGUCACCGAAGAUAAAUUCAGUGGUUUAAAUUAAUUUAAGCUAAUGUAACUUGCGAUACGUUAUGUUGCUGUCAUAGCUCUUGGCUUUUCCCAUCCCACAGAGGAAUCAUUCCCCGGGGGGUUGAGAUUUAAUCUAUGUCCUUUCUGUUGAGGAGGAGACAGACCUGCAGGAGGAACCGUUUGUGGAGGAUUAGCCAGGAGAUGGCAGCGGAGGGAAUCGCUGCCUGCUUCUGAAGAAGCAAAUGAAGUGGAUGAAGGAGGGCGGCUUGCUCCUCUGACGGGGUUGCCAGGAGCCAGGUCAGCCCAAUGCAGAAAGCGCUGUCCUCACUUGCUCUCCAGGGUUCUUAACAGUGGAAAAUCACUGGGAUACAGGAUCACCCUUGCCAAACUCCUCCAUCUGUGAUGUUUCUGGAAUGAUCUUUGCCCCGCUGCCUUUCAGUGGGAAGGAGACAGGAGGCAGCGGAGAAUUUGCCCUUUUGAGUUUCCCACUUGCCUUGUACCACUGACAAAUCGCUUGAAGGCGGUUGGUCUCCUAUGUCAAUAGGAGCUGGUGUAACUCCAAAAGGGGGGGUAACGCGAAAGGAGAAACGGUGAAACCCAUGCUGUGCAGAGGAAACGGGGUGUGCUCUGCAUCAAAAAGCCAGAAUGUCUCAGACUAAAUAGGCAAUAAAAUAUUUUCUUGAUAACCAAGGUUGUUUCUCAGGAGAGGCUAGUGACUCAGGCUAUCAGUAGGUAGAGGUUGCUGUCCUUUAACAACUGGGAGUAAGGGCUGCUAGGAAAGGGCUUGGAAUAGCAACAGUUUGGCUGCAGAAAUGCUCAGACCUCUGUUCUCAGCUCGGGCUGGAACUGAAUUUUGCCAAAAUGGGGAAACUUUAGAGCAUUGGGGGGUUACAGCUUGAGAGCUUGGACAACGUGGCAUUCCCCGGAGCAGCCGGCACAGGGGCAGUCGGCUCUUGUCCAGCCCAUGUAGGGAGCAGAAAACUGUGGUUUUUCCAGACCCUUUGAAUUCUGUUUGCGUCCUUCCAUUCUUAGACAUUUUUAAUUAAAAAGCAACACAAAACCCAA